CGCCAGAGCCGCCGGAACAUACACAUGCAAGUCGGACGGUAGCACAGAGAGCUUUCUCUUGGGUGAGAGUGGGGGACGGGUGAGUAAUGUCUGGGGAUCUGCCCGAUAGAGGGGGAUAACCACUGGAAACGGUGGCUAAAACCGCACAACGUCGCACGACCAAAGAGGGGGACCUUCGGGCCUCUCACUAUCGGAUGAACCCCCAUGGGAUUAGCUAGUAGGCGGGGUAAUGGCCCACCUAGGCGACAAUCCCUAGCUGGUCUGAGAGGAUGACCAGCCACACUGGAACUGAGACACGGUCCACACUCCUACGGGAGGCAGCAGUGGGGAAUAUUGCACAAUGGGCGCAAGCCUGAUGCACCCAUGCCGCGUGUAUGAAAAAAGCCUUCGGGUUGUAAAGUACUUUCACCGGGGAGGAAGGCGACGGGGUUAAUAACCCUGUCGAUUGACGUUACCCGCACAAAAAACACCGGCUAACUCCGUGCCACCACCCGCGGUAAUACGGAGGGUGCAAGCGUUAAUCGGAAUUACUGGGCGUAAAGCGCACGCAGGCGGUCUGUUAAGUCAGAUGUGAAAUCCCCGGGCUUAACCUGGGAACUGCAUUUGAAACUGGCAGGCUUGAGUCUUGUAGAGGGGGGUAUAAUUCCAGGUGUAGCGGUGAAAUGCGUAUAGAUCUGGAGGAAUACCGGUGGCGAAGGCGGCCCCCUGGACAAAGACUGACGCUCAGGUGCGAAAGCGUGUGGAGCAAACAGGAUUAUAUACCCUGGUAGUCCACGCCGUAUACGAUGUCUACUUGUAGGUUGUUCCCUUGAGGAGUGUCUUCCGGAGCUCACGCGUUAAGUCGACCGCCUGGGGAGUACGGCCGCAAGGUUAAAACUCACAUGAAUUGACAGGGGCCCGCACAAGCGGUGGAGCAUGUGGUUUAAUUCUAUGCAACGCGCAGAACCUUACCUACUCUUGACAUCCACGGAACUUUUCAGAGAUGCCUUAGUGCCUUCUGGGAACACUGAGACAGUGCUGCAUGGCUGUCGUCACUCUGUGUGAAAUGUGGGUUAAAUCUCGCACGAGCGCACCCCUAUCCUUGUGCACGAAUCGUCGGAACUCAGAGACUUGCGUGAUAACCGGAGGAGGUGGUAUACGUCAGUCAUCAUGGCCUACAAUAGCUACACACUGCUCAUGGACCACAGAGCACUUCGGAGACACGGACUCGAGUGCCUCAAUCCGAU
rnacentral:rRNA from 1 species